ACGGAAGGCAGCAGUGGGGAAUAUUGGACAAUGGGCGAAAGCCUGAUCCAGCGACGCCGCGUGAGUGAAGAAGUAUUUCGGUAUGUAAAGCUCUAUCAGCAGGGAAGAAAAUGACGGUACCUGACUAAGAAGCACCGGCUAAAUACGUGCCAGCAGCCGCGGUAAUACGUAUGGUGCAAGCGUUAUCCGGAUUUACUGGGCGUAAAGGGAGCGUAGGCGGCUUGGCAAGCCAGAAGUGAAAACCCGGGGCUCAACCCCGUGGAUUGCUUUUGGAACUGUUGAGCUAGAGUGUCGGAGAGGUAAGUGGAAUUCCUAGUGUAGCGGUGAAAUGCGUAGAUAUUAGGAGGAACACCAGUGGCGAAGGCGGCUUACUGGACGAUUACUGACGCUGAGGCUCGAAGGCGUGGGGAGCAAACAGGAUUAGAUACCCUGGUA
rnacentral:rRNA from 1 species